rnacentral:rRNA from 1 species
CGGGACGGGUGAGUAAUGUCUGGGAAACUGCCUGAUGGAGGGGGAUAACUACUGGAAACGGUAGCUAAUACCGCAUAACGUCGCAAGACCAAAGAGGGGGACCUUCGGCCUCUUGCCAUCGGAUGUGCCCAGAUGGGAUUAGCUAGUAGGUGGGGUAACGGCUCACCUAGGCGACGAUCCCUAGCUGGUCUGAGAGGAUGACCAGCCACACUGGAACUGAGACACGGUCCAG